GCCCCCGCGAAUUCGAUUCAGGCCUAACACAUGCAAAAAAAAAAAUUCUCUUCGGAGAAGAGCGGCGGACGGGUGAGUAACGCGUGGGUAACCUGCCCUGUACACACGGAUAACAUACCGAAAGGUAUGCUAAUACGAGAUAAUAUGCUUUUAUCGCAUGGUAGAAGUAUCAAAGCUCCGGCGGUACAGGAUGGACCCGCGUCUGAUUAGCUAGUUGGUGAGGCCCCGGCUCACCAAAGCGACGAUCAGUAGCCGACCUGAGAGGGUGAUCGGCCCCCCUGGAACUGAGACACGGUCCAAACUCCUACGGGAGGCAGCAGUGGGG
rnacentral:rRNA from 1 species